UACGAAGGGGGCUAGCGUUGUUCGGAAUUACUGGGCGUAAAGCGCAUGUAGGCGGCCGCGCAGGUCGGAUGUGAAAUCCCUCGGCUCAACCGAGGACGUGCAUUCGAAACCGCGCGGCUCGAGUCCCGGAGAGGGUGGUGGAAUUCUCGGCGUAGAGGUGAAAUUCGUAGAUAUCGGGAGGAACACCGGCGGCGAAAGCGGCCACCUGGACGAGGACUGACGCUGAGAUGCGAAAGCGUGGGGAGCAAACAGG
rnacentral:rRNA from 1 species